rnacentral:rRNA from 1 species
GAUGAACGCUGACAGAAUGCUUAACACAUCAGCAACUGAUUGGUGGCGGACGGGUGAUUAACGCGUAAAGAACUUGCCUCACAUGUAGGGACAACAUUAGGAAACGAAUGCUUAUACCUACUACUGUGCGAGAGCUUUGCGUCCAAUUAGCUAGUUGGAGAGGUAACGGCUCACCAAGGCGAUGAUGGGUAGCCGGCCUGAGAGUGUGAUCGGCCACAAGGGGACUGGGGCACUGGCCUUAGUCCUACGGGAGGCAGGGGUGGGAGAUAGUGGACAAUGGACCAAAGUGUGAACAAGGAAUUCGGUGUGCACGAUGAAGUUGUAGGAAUGAAAAGGGCUUUCAGUAGGGAAGCGGUACCAACAGAAGAAGCGACGGCUAACUACGUGCCAGCAGCCGCGGUAAUUC